rnacentral:rRNA from 1 species
GAUGAACGCUGGCGGCGUGCCUAAUACAUGCAAGUCGAGCGAACGGACGAGAAGCUUGCUUUUCUGAUGUUAGCGGCGGACGGGUGAGUAACACGUGGAUAACCUACCUAUAAGACUGGGAUAACUUCGGGAAACCGGAGCUAAUACCGGAUAAUAUUUUGAACCGCAUGGUUCAAAAGUGAAAGACGGUCUUGCUGUCACUUAUAGAUGGAUCCGCGCUGCAUUAGCUAGUUGGUAAGGUAACGGCUUACCAAGGCAACGAUGCAUAGCCGACCUGAGAGGGUGAUCGGCCACACUGGAACUGAGACACGGUCCAGACUCCCACGGGAGGCAGCAGUAGGGAAUCUUCCGCAAUGGGCGAAAGCCUGACGGAGCAACGCCGCGCGAGUGAUGAAGGUCUUCGGAUCGUAAAACUCUGUUAUUAGGGAAGAACAUAUGUGUAAGUAACUGUGCACAUCUUGACGGUACCUAAUCAGAAAGCCACGGCUAACUACGUG